rnacentral:rRNA from 2 species
ACGAACGCUGGCGGCAUGCCUAAUACAUGCAAGUCGAACGAGCUUCCGUUGAAUGACGUGCUUGCACUGAUUUCAACAAUGAAGCGAGUGGCGAACUGGUGAGUAACACGUGGGGAAUCUGCCCAGAAGCAGGGGAUAACACUUGGAAACAGGUGCUAAUACCGUAUAACAACAAAAUCCGCAUGGAUUUUGUUUGAAAGGUGGCUUCGGCUAUCACUUCUGGAUGAUCCCGCGGCGUAUUAGUUAGUUGGUGAGGUAAAGGCCCACCAAGACGAUGAUACGUAGCCGACCUGAGAGGGUAAUCGGCCACAUUGGGACUGAGACACGGCCCAAACUCCUACGGGAGGCAGCAGUAGGGAAUCUUCCACAAUGGACGAAAGUCUGAUGGAGCAAUGCCGCGUGAGUGAAGAAGGGUUUCGGCUCGUAAAACUCUGUUGUUAAAGAAGAACACCUUUGAGAGUAACUGUUCAAGGGUUGACGGUAUUUAACCAGAAAGCCACGGCUAACUACGUGCCAGCAGCCG